CCCUAGCCCUGAUGGAAGCGGCAUCCUUUUUCUGGCUUCUUUAGCCAGGAAAAGAUAUAGCGGACAGCAGGAUCAGCU
rnacentral:sRNA from 1 species